GUCUGGAUGGUGGCCAUUGGCAUACUAUAAAUCUGUGCUGUUAUGUAAUAACCAUAUACCCCUAUGGGCCAAUGUCAGUCAAACUGCUGGUGAAUGGAUAUAACAUUGUGUAUAUUUGAUAAGACGGUACUGUAAGUGGAUAGUUCAAUACAUGUCUGUUCAAUACAGAGGCCCGGUCAAUAGUAAAACCCUAUACUGUCUGUAUGUCUGUUCAAUACAGAGGCCCGGUCAAUAGUAAAACCCUAUACUGUCUGUAUGUCUGUUCAAUACAGAGGCCCGGUCAAUAGUAAAACCCUAUACUGUCUGUAUGUCUGUUCAAUACAGAGGCCCGGUCAAUAGUAAAACCCUAUACUGUCUGUAUGUCUGUUCAAUACAGAGGUCCGGUCAAUAGUAAAACCCUAUACUGUCUGUAUGUCUGUUCAAUACAGAGGCCCGGUCAAUAGUAAAACCCUAUACUGUCUGUAUGUCCUACUUGAAAUACCCCCCAGGUCAUUAACAAAAUGACCUACUUGUUUUUUUUGAGAGUGGAGUCAGUGGGCUACCACAGAUGGACCACAGCCUGCUGGAGGAGGGUUCUAUAUGUCAUGUUGUGUGGCAUGUUGUGAGGCAUGACGUGCGGCAUGCUGUGUGGCAUGUUGUGAGGCAUGACGUGUGGCAUGUUGUGUGGCAUGUUGUGUAGCAUGUUGUGUGGCAUGUUGUGUGGCAUGUGGUGUGGCAUUAUGUGUGGCAUGGGGUGUGGCAUUACAUGUGGCAUGAUGUGUGGCAUGACGUGUGGCAUGACGUGUGGCAUGACGUGCAGCAUGACGUGUGGCAUGUGGUGUGGCAUGGGGUGUGGCAUGACGUGUGGCAUGACGUGCGGUAUGACGUGUAGCAUGAUAGGAACAUAGUGUGCCACUCGAAGCAUAAUCUUACAUGUUCCUCCCAUUCCUGUCAUUUUCCCAAUGGUGUCUGUGCACCACAUUCAGGCUGACUGCCCACUGGGUGCUGUUCUAUAAAUACUCUG
rnacentral:lncRNA from 1 species